GAGUACAUGGUAUAGUUGGUUAUCACUCUUGCUUUGCAUUAUUCCUGCUAGUGGUCUUCAGUUUAAUUCCGGGUGUGUCCA